rnacentral:hammerhead_ribozyme from 1 species
AUCCAACUGAUGAGUCCCAAAUAGGACGGAAUGCGCGUCCUACAU